rnacentral:miRNA from 1 species
CUUUUUCUUUCUGUAACACUUCUC